rnacentral:rRNA from 1 species
GAUGAACGCUGGCGGCGUGCUUAACACAUGCAAGUCGAGCGAAGCACCUAAGAAAGAUUCUUCGGAUGAAUUCUUUUGUGACUGAGCGGCGGACGGGUGAGUAACGCGUGGGUAACCUGCCUCAUACAGGGGGAUAACAGUUAGAAAUGACUGCUAAUACCGCAUAAGACCACGGUACCGCAUGGUACAGUGGUAAAAACUCCGGUGGUAUGAGAUGGACCCGCGUCUGAUUAGCUAGUUGGUGGGGUAACGGCCUACCAAGGCGACGAUCAGUAGCCGACCUGAGAGGGUGACCGGCCACGUUGGGACUGAGACACGGCCCAAACUCCUUCGGGAGGCAGCAGUGGGGAAUAUUGCACAAUGGGGGAAACCCUGAUGCAGCGACGCCGCGUGAAGGAUGAAGUAUUUCGGUAUGUAAACUUCUAUCAGCAGGGGAGAAAAUGACGGUACCUGACUAAGAAGCCCCGGCUAACUACGUGCCAGCAGCCGCCGUAA